AAGUCGUAACAAGGUUUCCGUAGGUGAACCUGCGGAAGGAUCAUUAAUGAAUUCACUCUUGGAGCUGUUGCUGGUCUCUCGGGACAUGUGCACGCUUCAUCAGUCCUUUCAACCACCUGUGCACUCUUGAUAUAGAUUCGUGAGCAGUUAUUGCUUCAAGUCAAGUAUGACUUGGUUGCUGGGUGAAGUCAGUAGCCUAGCUUUGAUGACUGGUAGCGGGUCUAUAUAUCUUACACACCCUAAUGUAUGUCUAAUGAAUGUUAUUACUUGGGCCAUGUGCCUAUAAACCUAAUACAACUUUCAACAACGGAUCUCUUGGCUCUC
rnacentral:misc_RNA from 1 species